GCGCUUACCUUGAUAGGUCAAUGGGUGAUCGAGAAGGCCCACGGUCUAAGUUGCGAACCUCCAUUGCACUUAGGAGGGGUGCCUGCCUGAGGUCGGCUCAAGUGGUCUAACCAACGUCAUAAGUUAUAAUAGUUGGGGGCUGCUUUCGUACGGUCCCUGC
rnacentral:snRNA from 1 species